AGCAUUCUUUUCAGUGCUACUAAAGAAGGCAGACUCCAUCAUUUGUCUCACUCUACCACUGCUGGAGAUAUCUAAGGAGUUGCAAAGAGAGCGCUUCUGGCUUGGUGAGACUGUUGCCUGUGUUGCCAUGGUGACCAGUAAUCUGCAUACCAAUCUAUAGAACUGUCAGGCCUGCUGUGUCCAAUUAAGGCACUCAGCUCCAUCUCUUUUUAGUUCCAAAGGCUUGUUUUUCUCGUUGGCCCAGCGGCUGGAGAGUCUUGCAUCCCCCGUCUCUCCUGGUUUGGAUUUCUCCUGGCAGAGUAUGGCACAUGCUGGAGUACAGUGGAUGCACCAGCAGAUGGGUGGAACACUGGAAACUUUGGCCUGCUGUUCAAGGAGCUGCACACAAGUUCAGAAACAGCCUAGGUCAUAAUGCCUGCUGAGCUGAGCUGCCCGCCGUAGCACGUGUUGAUCACAUCAGCAGAUUGACUGGAGGUGCCUGAGCUACUGCUUUGAACUGAGCUGCUGUUCCCGACAGGAGAUCAUUACUUCAUCACACUGCUAGGAUUUGUUCUAUUCCAGCCACAGUCAGGAAUUGCUGCAAACAGCAGGCCAGGAUUUGUUCCUAACACAACAGAGGCCUCUGAACAAUGGCAGCAGAGCUACCAGACUGUAGCCUACUAAACUGCAUGCUGUCUGCUUUAAUGGCAUUGAUUAAACUCACCAGUUUUCUUUUUAGAAAGUCUUACAAAGCUCUAAAUAAUGUGAACUACUGGGCAUAAACCUGCAAUAAAUUAAGGUUGUUCAUGUUUAGCAUAGCUUUGUAUGUUCACCAAGUAUCCAAAAGUUUGUGGGCACCCGUUUGUCCAGUGUUUGAAUCAAGGAACUAUCCCACUAUUUAUUGAAGCAACUACUCUUCUGGGAGGGCUACUAUGGUGGAACAUUGCUUUGAGGAUUUGAUUGCAUUCAGGUGCAAGAGCAUGAGUGAAGUCAGACACUGAUAGGGGAUGAUUAGAUCUAGAUGAUAAAUGACACUGUAACUCAUCCCAAAGGUAUUAGAUGGAGCUCCUUCACUCAGAACACAGGAAUGUUGAAAUGCUCAUUUAUUUAUUGAUUGAUUGAUGUUGGCUGGCUAAUGCAGAAGAAAGGCAGAUGCUUUUACUGCUGGAAAGCCAAAAACUGUGUCUGUAUUUAUUUAUGAUCUUAUAAAUCAGUGGUUCAGUGACAGAUUUAUGCAGCUUUUGCUGGGUAUUGUAAUGAUAGACCAUUGAUGAAUCAAAAGCACAGUAGAAGUAGAACUGGGAGUUCUAUCAAAAGAAUGAGCCUUAGGCAUGCAAUGCUGUAAAUACUGCCUAGCAGGACAUACACUCACCAGCCACAUUAUUAGGUACACAUUGCUAGUGAAAGGUCAGACCCCCUUUUGCCUUCAGAACUGCCUCAGAUGAAACUGGCCCCAGCAAAGCUUCUUAGAGCAUUCACUAUUACCCAAUGGCUUAUAAUACCCAAAGUGGAGCCUGGGAUGUCUUUUAGAAGCCCCAAAUGUCUAUUUUUAAUGUAGAAUGGGCAAAAAAAGGUUUGGCUUGGUGCUAGAAACUAUGAGAAUCCCAUUGGGGUGCUAGCAGAAUUUAGCAUUCAUGUACAGGUGGGUUUUUUUUUAUUAUAUUUUGAGCAGGUUUAUACAAUUAUGGCUUGAAUUGAAGGCCUAGCUCUAAUAGUCACAGUUCGCCACUGACAAUACUUGAGUAAGCCCAUUAUAUAUCCCCCCCCAUUUGUUAUUCUGUCCCAGAACUGUACACUGUUUUAUUAGAGGUCCCUCCUCUCUGACUGGUUUUCAGAUAGCUAUAGAAAGAUAGUGUGAGUAUAACACACUAGACAAUGCCUUCAAGAACCCCAUACAACAACACCUGUGAGAAACAGGGCUCUGCUUGAACUGUUUAGGCCAUUAUAGUGUAACUAAUGUCAUUACAAAGUCUUGAUAGAGAACACAGUAUGUGAUUUGUGAUCUGUUUGAUAACUAUGAAUAAACAUGUUGGAUGAAAUGAUAACUAA